AACGAACGCUGGCGGCAUGCCUAACACAUGCAAGUCGAACGAGACCUUCGGGUCUAGUGGCGCACGGGUGCGUAACGCGUGGGAACCUGCCCUUAGGUUCGGAAUAACUCCCCGAAAGGGGUGCUAAUACCGGAUAAUGUCUUCGGACCAAAGAUUUAUCGCCUUUGGAUGGGCCCGCGUUGGAUUAGCUAGUUGGUAGGGUAAAAGCCAACCAAGGCGACGAUCCAUAGCUGGUCGGAGAGGAUGAUCAGCCACACUGGGACUGAGACACGGCCCAGACUGCUACGGGAGGCAGCAGUGGGGAAUAUUGGACAAUGGGCGAAAGCCUGAUCCAGCAAUGCCGCGUGAGUGAUGAAGGCCUUAGGGUUGUAAAGCUCUUUUACCCGGGAUGAUAAUGACAGUACCGGGAGAAUAAGCUCCGGCUAACUCCGUG
rnacentral:rRNA from 1 species